GGCUGCUCAGCUCCUCAUUCUUUUCAUGUGGCCACCACUCGCCUGCUUGCCAGGAAGAGGAAGCUCGGCAGCCGGCUCUUCAUCAUGCCGACAAAAAACGCUGCUGUUACUGAAGAAGACAAAGAAACCACUUUUAAAGAUAAAAAGAGGUUUUGAAGCAUUACUUCGCAUUCUGCUUGUUCGGAUCUCAUGAGACAGUGAAGCAGGCCACUCAGUCCCAUGGUGUGGAUGCUGCCUCUGUCCAAUGAUACCUGACACCAGAUCAAGGGUUCUUCCCAGUAUAGACACCUCUCAGUUGGAAAGGGUUACAAUCAUCCCAAUUUGGAAAUCCCAUCAUCAAUUGUAAAACAGACCUCCCCAAGGUGAGAAGGGGCGGGGGAAUGUAGAGCUGAAUAUGAAAAUCUGAAGGACUGCAUGGUCUAAGAAUGAAAUGUUUUCUAAAUAAAAUUAAGCUACACGGUGGAAAUUGAGGAGAAAGUCCUUAAGGUGACUUUUAAAUGAAAAUGAAAUGUCUGUUAGUAAGUUACAGAGGUGCAAUGAUACCAAGUGGCAGGCUUGUGUCUUGUUAAUUUCAAACAUAGAUUUUUAUGUGAGGCUAUUUGAUUAUAAUUUGAUUAUCUGACCCUGUAAUUAAAGUUUAUUGCCAAUUUGGAAGCUUACAUGUAAAAUGAACUGGUUUUCUUCAAAGCAAUAUACAAUCUUUUGGACUCAUUGACUUCUGGUUUUGCAUUUAAAUGGAAAAGUCAGUUAUAACGUGACAAACAGGUUGGGGUUUUGAUCAUUAAUCCUGCUAAAGCAAUAUUCAUAAAUUCAAUUCUGAAUCAGUUGGAAUACUUUUCUUUUAUUAGUUUCUGUGUUAUUAAAUGAGAUUGUUUCUGACUAAUAUAUUUCUGGACUCAAACUGUAGCUCCAAGCUGUUAUUCAAAUCAAAUAACAUGCCCCUUACUUGUGCCUCGCACUAAUAAAUGCCAACUUGUGAUACAUUUGCAAGAGACUGUCAGCAAUAUUAAAGGAGGCAAUAAUGGC
ensembl:lncRNA novel transcript